AUGAACGCGAUGGACAAGGGCUCUGUCUGGGAUGUGGCCUCCCUCACACAGGGGCCCUGCCAAGUGACCAGAUGUUCAGUGAAAAGUCCCCCUCAGGCCACGCCACUGACCAGGCCAGCUGCAGUUACAGAAAUUCCUUGUCCUCACAGCCCACUCAGACCCCAGUCCCCAAGCCACGAAGUUGAGCCUGACGCCAGGAGACGGCCACCCUCCGGAGGCCGGCGCUUGUUCAGAGCACUCGACUGGUCCCACAGUCUCCGCAGCAAUGCCAGGGCAGAGUUGCCCACGUGGGCUUCGCUCCUGGGACCACCUGUGUCAGUACUUGUCCCCCACCGUCCGUGGACCCCCGGCCACAUCCCAGGCCCUGCAGUGGGUCUGCAGAGGCUCUGGGCUUUGCUGACAGAAAUGGCCACUGAGAGCAAAAGUCAAGGGGAAUCAUCCCUCCUGGAGCCCGGCAGGGUAUCUUGGGACCAUGGUGAGGACUACAUGCACUACAACGCCCAGGGAGCCGCUGGCCCAGGCAGUGUUUGACACGUCAGCUGCGGUUCAUCCAGGGCACCCGGGAGGCCAGAGGAGAAGGCAGAGGGGGCCAUGUGGCCCAGGAAACCCAUCACCAGGGGAUGCAGAAGAGGCGUGUGUGGGCAGACGUUGGGGCGUCGGAGCUGUGUGCCGGGAGCGGAGGCAGCGGGCGGGCGUCCUUGGCCAUCCAGGUCCGAGACACUUCCCCAGGGAGGCGCCCUGCCCAGCAAGGAGGAGAGAGAAGCUCUACCUGACGACGGCAGCGGCCCUGGGGGGCCCGUGAGUGGUGCCAGGGGCCUGCCCAGGGAGGGAGGCGAUAGCGUGGGUGCAGGCAGGAUGCCAGCCUCGGUCGUGUGGGGGCCUGGAGAGCUCGGAGCACGAUGACCAGGCCAGAGCACGGUCCCAUUCUCCCAGGGGGCAUCGGAGGGCACAGGGAGGACGAGGGGGCCCACGGGAGUCUUGAGGGCCAGCGUUUCACUCUCAGUGGGAGUAGUGUCGUUCCACAGCUGGACAAAGCUCCGGAUGCCUUCGGCCACGUUCAGGAUCUCGGCUCCCACACCGGCAAUGUUCUUCUCCGGUGCAUCCAGGCUCUCAGCAGAAGUGGGGGUGUCCUGGCCACCUUCCAGCAGCUCUGAGGGUGGCUUAGGGUUGCCAGGGGCUGUCUCUAGCUCUGUGGAACCAUUCUGCGGGGCCACAAGCAUGGUGGGGCCUGCUGUGGGCUUGGGGACCGUGGCAGCUGUGUGGCUGGUGUCCUUACUGGGCCAUAGCCAGCUCAGGUCCAGCAGGUCGGCCUGGGCAGCCACCAGGCAGCAGAAGAGCAGCAGCAGGACGCAGCGGCCGCUGGGGUCGGGAGCCAUUGGGACUGUGCAGCUGGAGUGAGGGCAGCACGAGGCCUCUGUGCCUGGAGGUGGGGUCAGCCAGGCUCCCGCCCUCCUGCCCUCCCACCCUGGGCAGUCUUCCCAGCCUCUGGGUGGCUCUGUCUCCCACCCUUCACUCUUGCAGAAGGAAAAAAGGCACCAGCCUUGGAAUCAAGGU
rnacentral:lncRNA from 13 species